rnacentral:rRNA from 1 species
AUACGGAGGGUGCAAGCGUUAUCCGGAUUUAUUGGGUUUAAAGGGUGCGUAGGCGGUUUGAUAAGUCAGCGGUGAAAUAUUUCAGCUUAACUGGGAGGGUGCCGUUGAUACUGUCGAGCUUGAAUUUAGUUGCUGUGGGUGGAAUGUGUGGUGUAGCGGUGAAAUGCAUAGAUAUCACACAGAAUAUCGAUUGCGAAGGCAGCUCACAAAGCUAAUAUUGACGCUGAUGCACGAAAGUGUGGGGAUCAAACAGGAUUAGAUACCCUGGUAGUCCACACUGUAAACGAUGAUAACUCGCUGUCGGCGAUACAUAGUCGGUGGCCAAGCGAAAGCGAUAAGUUAUCCACCUGGGGAGUACGACCGCAAGGUUGAAACUCAAAUGAAUUGACGGGG